AAAGGAUUUACUAAAGGUGGAUUAUGUGCACCUAUACAUGGAAUGAAUAUGUGUUGUUGUAUAAAGUAAUGAAGCUAUUGUAUCAUUGAAAUAAAUAAUAAUAAUAAAAGAUAUAGAAGUUAUAUUAGAACUAAGCAUUCUAUGGUUGUGGCUGAAUAAAAAAAGAUCAAAUAAGAAAUGUGAAGUUGUUAUUCAUAUUAUUGAAAAUCGGUAUCC
rnacentral:lncRNA from 1 species